UCCGUAGGUGAACCUGCGGAGGGAUCAUUACACAAAUAUGAAGGCGGGCUGGAACCUCUCGGGGUUACAGCCUUGCUGAAUUAUUCACCCUUGUCUUUUGCGUACUUCUUGUUUCCUUGGUGGGUUCGCCCGCCACUAGGACAAACAUAAACCUUUUGUAAUUGCAAUCAGCGUCAGUAACAAAUUAAUAAUUACAACUUUCAACAACGGAUCUCUUGGUUCUGGCAUCGAUGAAGAACGCAGCGAAAUGCGAUAAGUAGUGUGAAUUGCAGAAUUCAGUGAAUCAUCGAAUCUUUGAACGCACAUUGCGCCCUUUGGUAUUCCAAAGGGCAUGCCUGUUCGAGCGUCAUUUGUACCCUCAAGCUUUGCUUGGUGUUGGGCGUCUUGUCUCUAGCUUUGCUGGAGACUCGCCUUAAAGUAAUUGGCAGCCGACCUACUGGUUUCGGAGCGCAGCACAAGUCGCACUCUCUAUCAGCAAAGGUCUAGCAUCCAUUAAGCCUUUUUUUCAACUUUUGACCUCGGAUCAGGUAGGGAUACCCGCUGAACUUAAGCAUAUCAAUAAGCGGAGGA
rnacentral:rRNA from 1 species